UAAAACUCCUCCCCUGCCAUUUGAUCACAACCAAAAGCCCCUACUCCCUGUAAAAAUCCUAUCCCACCUGCCCACAAACAAUUGAAAUAAUGUCAAUAUCUUACCCACAAAACAUUCAUAUAUAAAACUUAAGGUUUACAGUUGGAUAUUUAAUCCUUUUCUAUGCUUCAGGAUUAAUAUUUGAGUGGUUCCUUCCUCUUCCUAAAAAAAACUCAUUCUCCCAUUCACCCUUACUACAUUAUCAACUAUAAUUUCCCAGAUUAUAAAAGACAAAGAUAAUAUGAAAGUUACCAUUUUACAUCAAAUGCUAUACUUUACUAACAUCCUACCACUUGGAAGGUUCUUUUUCGCCCUUACUAUUGACAUUUAAAAGGGCAGUAAAGGGUCCAGAUGAAUAAAUUGUAGCAUCAAGAACAUAUUAAAGUUAGAACGACUAUUAAAUGACUUUCUUAAUUUAUGUGCAUAAAACUAAAACGACUAUUAUUAUGGAAUGGAGGUAGUAAUAUAAAGUGAAAGAAUUAGACUUAAGAUAAUAGAACUUACCUUGGAGUUCCCCUGUUGCAAGCUCGUGCUUGGCUUAUGCUAUCAUAAGAUUCAAAACUAUACAAAUCGAUUGCGAAUGAGGAGGUGGAUUGAGAGAUUGACAUCGUUAAUGAGGAGGUGGGUUUGUUGUCGUUGAUGCGGAAAUUCAAAUUCACCAUUGGAUAGAUAGUUACCAUUUACCAAGUGAGGAAGUAAAAAAGAGGAACUGAGGGAGAUGAAGAGGUAAUUGAACCAUUUUGCGAGAGGUGGAAACUAAAGCAUCAAUCCGUUAGUUCAUCCAAACUCAACUGAGUGGAAUUGGACAAUAUUUGAUUAUCCAACUUGGGGAAAGCAACAAAUAACUUAGUUGGGCAGAAGAAAACUCUUUAGGUAAAUAUACACCAAAACACUUGUAGGCAUUUCUAUGCUCAAUGAGAACAUCAUAUUCAUCCUAAUGCUUGUUCUCAGAUUCUCUGGGACAUAUAAG
rnacentral:lncRNA from 1 species